rnacentral:rRNA from 1 species
GUGCACGCUGGCGGUAGGCCUAACACCUGCCAGUCGCACGGCAGCACAGUAAGAGCUUGCUCUUACGGGUGGCGAGUGGCGGACGGGUGAGGAAUACAUCGGAAUCUACUUUUUCGUGGGGGAUAACGUAGGGAAACUUACGCUAAUACCGCAUACGACCUACGGGUGAAAGCAGGGGAUCUUCGGACCUUGCGCGAUUGAAUGAGCCGAUGUCGGAUUAGCUAGUUGGCGGGGUAAAGGCCCACCAAGGCGACGAUCCGUAGCUGGUCUGAGAGGAUGAUCAGCCACACUGGAACUGAGACACGGUCCAGACUCCUACGGGAGGCAGCAGUGGGGAAUAUUGGACAAUGGGCGCAAGCCUGAUCCAGCCAUACCGCAUGGGUGAAGAAGGCCUUCGGGUUGUAAAGCCCUUUUGUUGGGAAAGAAAAGCAGCAGGUUAAUACCCCGCUGUUCUGACGGUACCCAAAGAAUAAGCACCGGCUAACUUCGUG